UACGGAGGGAGCUAGCGUUGUUCGGAAUUACUGGGCGUAAAGCGCACGUAGGCGGCUUUGUAAGUUAGAGGUGAAAGCCCGGAGCUCAACUCCGGAACUGCCUUUGAUACUGGGUAUCUGGAGGUCGAGAGAGGCGAGUGGAAUUCCGAGUGAUAGAGGUGAAAUUUCGGUAAGAUAUUCGGAGGAACACCAAGUGGCGAAGGCAGCU
rnacentral:rRNA from 1 species